CAGUCGCCGCGGUAAUACGUAGGGUGCAAGCGUUAAUCGGAAUUACUGGGCGUAAAGCGUGCGCAGGCGGUUUGUUAAGACAGAUGUGAAAUCCCCGGGCUUAACCUGGGAACUGCAUUUGUGACUGGCAAGCUAGAGUCUGGCAGAGGGGGGUGGAAUUCCGCGUGUAGCAGUGAAAUGCGUAGAUAUGCGGAGGAACACCGAUGGCGAAGGCAGCCCCCUGGGCCAACACUGACGCUCAUGCACGAAAGCGUGGGGAGCAAACAGGAUUAGAUACCCGCGUAGUCCCUGUCUCUUAUAC
rnacentral:rRNA from 1 species